rnacentral:rRNA from 1 species
CAUAGGUUAAUGAGGCGAACCGGGGGAACUGAAACAUCUAAGUACCCCGAGGAAAAGAAAUCAACCGAGAUUCCCCCAGUAGCGGCGAGCGAACGGGGAGGAGCCCAGAGCCUGAAUCAGUGUGUGUGUUAGUGGAAGCGUCUGGAAAGGCGCGCGAUACAGGGUGACAGCCCCGUACACAAAAAUGCACAUGCUGUGAGCUCGAUGAGUAGGGCGGGACACGUGGUAUCCUGUCUGAAUAUGGGGGGACCAUCCUCCAAGGCUAAAUACUCCUGACUGACCGAUAGUGAACCAGUACCGUGAGGGAAAGGCGAAAAGAACCCCGGCGAGGGGAGUGAAAAAGAACCUGAAACCGUGUACGUACAAGCAGUGGGAGCACGCUUAGGCGUGUGACUGCGUACCUUUUGUAUAAUGGGUCAGCGACUUAUAUUCUGUAGCAAGGUUAACCGAAUAGGGGAGCCGAAGGGAAACCGAGUCUUAACUGGGCGUUAAGUU